rnacentral:rRNA from 1 species
AGUGAACGCUGGCGGUAGGCCUAACACAUGCAAGUCGAACGGCAGCACAGUAAGAGCUUGCUCUUACGGGUGGCGAGUGGCGGACGGGUGAGGAAUACAUCGGAAUCUACUUUUUCGUGGGGGAUAACGUAGGGAAACUUACGCUAAUACCGCAUACGACCUACGGGUGAAAGCAGGGGAUCUUCGGACCUUGCGCGAUUGAAUGAGCCGAUGUCGGAUUAGCUAGUUGGCGGGGUAAAGGCCCACCAAGGCGACGAUCCGUAGCUGGUCUGAGAGGAUGAUCCGCCAACCUGGAACUGAGACACGGUCCAGACUCCUACGGGAGGCAGCAGUGGGGAAUAUUGGACAAUGGGCGCAAGCCUGAUCCAGCCAUACCGCGUGGGUGAAGAAGGCCUUCGGGUUGUAAAGCCCUUUUGUUGGGAAAGAAAAGCAGCGGGUUAAUACCCCGCUGUUCUGACGGUACCCAAAGAAUAAGCACCGGCUAACUUCGU